GAACCACUGGCCCCAUAAAAAAUAAAAAAAAAAUGAAAAAUGAAACAUCUUUCCCACGCCUACCAUUUCUCCCCGUGUGAAUAACGGUCGGUACACAAGAAUCGGUGUGACAUAAAAAAAAAAAAAAAAAAAUCAAAAGUCUCUUGACGUUAAACCUACAUUAUUUAGUGGGCAAUUAAUUAUUUCCGUCGUUUACUAAUAAAAUUGACUCUUCGUAUAACUUGUACCUGGC